CGGAGGGGCUAGCGUUGUUCGGAAUUACUGGGCGUAAAGCGCACGUAGGCGGACUGGAAAGUCAGAGGUGAAAUCCCAGGGCUCAACCUUGGAACUGCCUUUGAAACUAUCAGUCUGGAGUUCGAGAGAGGUGAGUGGAAUUCCGAGUGUAGAGGUGAAAUUCGUAGAUAUUCGGAGGAACACCAGUGGCGAAGGCGGCUCACUGGCUCGAUACUGACGCUGAGGUGCGAAAGCGUGGGGGAGCAAACAGGAUU
rnacentral:rRNA from 1 species